rnacentral:misc_RNA from 1 species
GAUGAAGAACGUAGCGAAAUGCGAUAAGUAGUGUGAAUUGCAGAAUUUAGUGAAUCAUCGAAUCUUUGAACGCACAUUGCGCCCUAUAGUAUUCUGUAGGGCAUGCCUGUUCGAGCGUUAUUGAGACCUCAAGCUCUGCUUGGAAAUGGGCGCUUGUCUUGCCUUGCAGACUCGCCUUAAAACCAUUGGCAGCUGAUUUACAAUGUUUGGUGCACAGUACAUGAGCCCAAGUGUUGCAAUGAGUGGCCCAAAAGUAUACAAUAGAAGCUUAACCUCGGAUCAGGUAGGGAUACCCGCUGAACUUAAGCAUAUCAAUAAGCGAGA